AGAGAUCCGCUUUCAUCUUCUUCUUCCCAAAUCGCUCUUUUCAUCAAGGCAAGUCUUUCUCUCCUUCCACCAGAUCUCUUCACUUUUUCAACAAAUGCAUCUCUUCUCAAUCUCUUUAUUAUCUUCAAUUUGUAUACUCUGAUUCUCGCAUGCGUUAGAUUUCUCCAUAUAAUUCCGUUACAAUUUAAUUCAUGUAAUUUGGUUUACGAAGUGCUGGAUCCAAAUCGCGUGUUGCGAGAUCACGCGAUUAUGUUGGAUCAUGAUCGCUUUUCUCAAUUUUGGUUUUUCAAUCGUGCAAUUUCAUCAGAUUCGCUUUCGUUUUGUGUAAUUAGAGUAGAUCAUGUUACGAUUCUCUUCCUUUUGCGUAUAUUUCGUUAUUAUUUUUAUUUUUUGUGUCAUUUUUGGUUUAAAUUUGAUUUGUUGCGAUUGAAAUGA